AGCAUUUAAAGAUUUUUGUGUUGAAUUUAAAUUUAAAAUUAUAUUAUGUGUAUGUAUUCUGUGUGUGUGUGUGUGUCUUUGUGUGUUUGUGUCUUUGUGUGUUUGGUUGUCUGUGUGUGUGUGUCUUUGUGUGUUUGUGUCUUUGUGUGUUUGCUUGUCUGUGUGUGUGUGUCUGUUUGUCUGUGUGUGUGUUUGUCUGUGUGUGUGUUUGUCUGUGUGUGUGUUUGUCUGUGUGUAUGUGCGUGUUUGUCUGUGUGUGUGUUUGUCUGUGUGUGUUUGUCUGUGUGUGUGUGUGUGUGUGUCUUUGUGUGUUUGUUUGUCUGUGUGUGUGUGUCUUUGUGUGUUUGUUUGUCUGUGUGUGUGUUUAUGUGUUUGUCUGUGUUUGUCUGCGUGUGUGUGUGUGUCUGUUUGUCUGUGUGUGUGUUUAUGUGUUUGUCUGUGUUUGUCUGUGUGUGUGUGCGUGUUUGUCUGUGUGUGUGUUUGUCUGUGUUUGUCUGUGUGUGUGUGCGUGUUUGUCUGUGUGUGUGUUUGUCUGUGUUUGUCUUUGUGUGUGUGCGUGUUUGUCUGUGUGUGUGUUUGUCUGUGUUUGUCUGUGUGUGUGUGUGUGUCUGUUUGUCUGUGUGUGUGUUAAUGUGUUUUUCUGUGUGUGUGUGUUUGUCUGUGUUUGUCUGUGUGUGUGUGCGUGUUUGUCUGUGUGUGUGUGCGUGUUUGUCUGUGUGUGUGUGUCUUUGUGUGUCUGUUUGUCUGUGUGUGUGUUUAUGUGUUUGUCUGUGUGUGUUUGUCUGUGUUUGUCUGUGUGUGUGUGUGUGUCUGUUUGUCUGUGUGUGCGUGUUUGUCUGUGUGUGUGUGUCUGUUUGUCUGUGUGUGUGUUUGUCUGUGUUUGUUUGUGUGUGUGUGCGUGUUUGUCUGUGUGUGUGUUUGUCUAUGUGUGUUUGUCUGUGUGUGUGUGUGUGUCUUUGUGUGUUUGUUUGUCUGUGUGUGUGUGUGUGUCUGUUUGUCUGAGAGUGUGUUUAUGUGUUUGUCUGUGUUUGUCUGUGUGUGUGUGUGUGUGUUUGUCUGUGUGUGUGUGUGUCUGUUUGUCUGUUUGUCUGUGUGUGUGUUUGUCUGUGUUUGUUUGUGUGUGUGUGCGUGUUUGUCUGUGUGUGUGUUUUUGUGUGUUUGUUUGUGUGUGUGUGUGUUUGUCUGUGUUUGUCUGUGUGUGUGUGUCUUUGUGUGUUUGUUUGUCUGUGUGUGUGUUUAUGUGUUUGUCUGUGUGUGUGUUUGUCUGUGUUUGUCUGUGUGUGUGCGUGUUUGUCUGUGUGUGUGUUUGUCUGUGUGUGUUUGUCUGUUUGUCUGUGUGUGUGUCUGUCUGUCUGUGUGAGUGUUUGUCUGUGUGUGUGUUUAUGUGUUUGUCUGUGUGUGUUUGUCUGUGUGUGUGUUUAUGUGUUUGUCUGUGUGUGUUUGUCUGUGUGUGUGUUUAUGUGUUUGUCUGUGUGUGUGUGUGUGUGUGUCUGUUUGUCUGUGUGUGUGUUUGUCUGUUUGUCUGUGUUUGUCUGUGUGUGUGUGCGUGUUUGUCUGUGUGUGUGUUUGUCUGUGUUUGUGUUUAUGUGUUUGUCUGUGUGUGUGUUUAUGUGUUUUUCUGUGUGUGUUUGUCUGUGUGUGUGUUUGUCUGUGUUUGUUUGUGUGUGUGUGUGUGUGUGUGUCUGUUUGUCUGUGUGUGUGUUUGUCUGUUUGUCUGUGUUUGUCUGUGUCUGUGUGCGUGUUUGUCUGUGUGUGUGUUUGUCUGUGUUUGUGUUUAUGUGUUUGUCUGUGUGUGUGUUUAUGUGUUUUUCUGUGUGUGUUUGUCUGUGUGUGUGUUUGUCUGUGUUUGUUUGUGUGUGUGUGUGUGUGUGUCUGUUUGUCUGUGUGUGUGUUUGUCUGUUUGUCUGUGUUUGUCUGUGUCUGUGUGCGUGUUUGUCUGUGUGUGUGUUUGUCUGUGUUUGUGUUUGUCUGUGUUUGUGUUUAUGUGUUUUUCUGUGUGUGUUUGUCUGUGUGUGUGUUUGUCUGUGUUUGUCUGUGUGUGUGUGUGUGUGUCUGUUUGUCUGUGUGUGUGUUUGUCUGUUUGUCUGUGUUUGUCUGUGUCUGUGUGCGUGUUUGUCUGUGUGUGUGUUUGUCUGUGUGUGUGUUUAUGUGUUUGUCUGUGUGUGUUUGUCUGUGUGUGUGUUUGUCUGUGUUUGUCUGUGUGUGUGUGUGUGUCUGUUUGUCUGUGUGUGUGUUUGUCUGUUUGUCUGUGUUUGUCUGUGUGUGUGUGCGUGUUUGUCUGUGUGUGUGUUUGUCUGUGUUUGUCUGUGUGUGUGUGUGUGUGUGUCUGUUUGUCUGUGUGUGUGUUUAUGUGUUUGUCUGUGUAUGUGUUUGUCUGUGUUUGUCUGUGUGUGUGUGCGUGUUUGUCUGUGUGUGUGUUUGUCUGUGUUUGUCUGUGUGUGUGUGCGUGUUUGUCUGUGUGUGUGUUUGUCUGUGUUUGUCUGUGUGUGUGUGUCUUUGUGUGUCUGUUUGUCUGUGUGUGUGUUUAUGUGUUUGUCUGUGUGUGUUUGUCUGUGUUUGUCUGUGUGUGUGUGUGUGUGUCUGUUUGUUUGUGUGUGUGUGUGUCUUUGUGUGUUUGUUUGUUUGUCUGUCUGUGUGUUUAUGUGUUUGUCUGUGUGUGUGUUUGUCUGUGUUUGUCUGUGUGUGUGUGCGUGUUUGUCUGUGUGUGUGUGUUUGUCUGUGUGUGUGUUUGUCUGUGUUUGUCUGUGUGUGUGUGCGUGU
rnacentral:lncRNA from 1 species